rnacentral:rRNA from 1 species
UAGGGAAUCUUCGGCAAUGGACGAAAGUCUGACCGAGCAACGCCGCGUGAGUGAAGAAGGUUUUCGGAUCGUAAAACUCUGUUGUUAGAGAAGAACAAGGACGUUAGUAACUGAACGUCCCCUGACGGUAUCUAACCAGAAAGCCACGGCUAACUACGUGCCAGCAGCCGCGGUAAUACGUAGGUGGCAAGCGUUGUCCGGAUUUAUUGGGCGUAAAGCGAGCGCAGUCGGUUUCUUAAGUCUGAUGUGAAAGCCCCCGGCUCAACCGGGGAGGGUCAUUGGAAACUGGGAGACUUGAGUGCAGAAGAGGAGAGUGGAAUUCCACGUGUAGCGGUGAAAUGCGUAGAUAUAUGGAGGAACACCGGUGGCGAAGGCGGCUCUCUGGUCUGUAACUGACGCUGAGGCUCGAAAGCGUGGGGAGCAAACAGG